GCCAUAGGUUGCCUACCCCUGUACUAUGGGGUUCAGUAUUUUCCUAGGCUAAUAACUACAUGUUGAUCAUAUUGAUGCUACUGUGCAGUAGCAUUGGUCAACUCUAAUUAGUACAUUGUUGACUAGAGAGAACCACAUCCAGAUCUCAGCUGAAAGACUAUCAGCAUGAGUGUUAAUCUCAAAGAUUAAAGGAGUAAUAAGAGUUGGGUUAUCUGAGGCCCCCAAAAUAAAGGGGGAAAAAGGUAAAGAGGCUGCUCAGCCUCUGUAGGUGGUAGAGGCACUAAUUGUGCCACAGGAGGCUAAAAACCCACUCCAUCAGCUGAAGGCAAAAAGAGUCACCUCAUGAUCCAGAGAGUGUAGUCAUGCUACAGUUAAGUGGAAAGGAAGGUUCAGACUUUCAAAGCUAUCUUGGGAAUUUACAUUCUCCCCUGAAGCCUAGUUCUCAUGGAUGACAGUUUCCUAAAUAGCUUUGAAAGUUUUAACUGUAGCAUACAGAUACCAGGUACCUUCAAAAAGCAACAGUCUGAAGAAGUGAGGUUCUUACCCACGAAAGCUUAUGCUCCCAGUACUUCUGUUAGUCUCAAAGGUGCCACAGGACCCUCUGUUGCUUUUUACAGAUUCAGACUAACACGACUACCCCUCUGAUACCAGGUACCUUCAGUUAGCUAAGUUCAUUAAUUGAACAUGGGACAGUACUAAAGUUCCUAGGGUGCAGAUUAGUCAGGUCUAGAAGGCCAUAAUUAUCUUGGGUUCUCUUGUUUAACCUACCUGAUCGCUGUAGUUGCUGUUGCAUCAUUGCCAGCUGCAGAGGUGUCCCAGAGCGUGGGUUUAAGAGGUGAUGGCCAGCUGUUGGUAAUGGAUAAAAAGGCUGGCCCAGGAUGGGAGUAGAUAUUCCCUGUAUGUGAGACAAGUCCACCCCUGGAGGAAUCAUACCUAUUGAUUAGACAAGGGUGGGGGGUGGGGGGGAGGCCCAUUACUUUAUUAAAAUGUCAGAAAUAUAAACAGAGGAGCUUCAUUUGAAAGGCACACUUGUUUAGCAAUUGCUGGUUUGUGAGAGUACUGUCAGUCUUAUGAAAGGAGUUUGUUGUAAUAGGGAAAAUAGCCUAUUUGUGGCAAUCACCACACAUCUUAGUCUAGCAUUAUGUAAGGGUGUCAGUGCUUAAGAGGCCAAGAACAAGUUUAUUUUGAAGUUUCACCCUAGCAAUUAAGUGGUAUAAGUAAGAGGAUUACCUGCUUGCAGCAGAGGAAGAUGUUGUGGAUGCAUCCCCUGUGCCAGCAUCCUCUGGACCAAUCCUGGAUGCAGUUGAUGAGUAGGUCGUACAAUUGGUACAUGGGGAACAAGGGGUACCUGGUGAACAGGACGAAGGAAGGGAGACCCUGGUACAGGGGAGGCUGUUGUAGGAGUCUUUCUGCCAGUUGAUUUAGGCCUGUAGUCUUGUUCUUUGGUGCAACGGUUUGGCUGAGAAAGCGGUGUAGAACAUGCAGAGCGUUGCAAUGCAGCUAGUUUGGAACUUAUAGCAGGUGAAGUAUCUUGGUCUGCAUUCUCCACCAAGCUAGCUGAUAGUAAGUUAUCUGUAGUCAAAUUAAAAUAUGACUUUAAAUCUGAUUUCUAGUUGUGCAAUGUACAAAAGGCAGAAAUGUCUUAAAGCUAGGUAUGGUAUUUGCUAGACUAUCAAUUACAAGUCUGGAAGAUAUACAAGAGUCUGAGCUUAGUCAGAUGUCUUCCUACCACUUCCCUCAUCUUUCCUGGAUUCCUUCAGAAGUCAAAGGAAAGUUGAGGAGGCAAUGAGGAGAAAGGAGUCAGUAUUUGAGUUUGACAAGAGUGGAUUUUUUUUUAGUGUCUCAGCUUUAUUAAAUUCAUGCUGAAAUACUGACAAGCUAGGUCUAAAAACCUAGUUCAGUACAGGGAUAUCCCUCAAACCCAGGUUCUUCAGAUUAGCUAUAUGAGCGUACUAACAAUGCCCUUAUAGCUCCAGGAUUGGAUGCAGUCUUUACUGCUAGAGGAGCAUGCCUGGAAAUCUAUUUUGUUUUUUUAAAUAGAAAAUCCGGGUUGGAAGGGACCUCAGGAGGUCAUCUAGUCCAACCCCCUGCUCAAAGCAGGAUCAAUCCCCAGACAGAUUUUUGCCCCGAUCCUUAAAUGGCUCCCUCAAGGAUUGAACUCACAACCCUGGGUUUAGCAGGCCAAUGCUCAAACCACUGAGCUACCCCUCCCCCAGUUGACAGGUUAUAAUUUAGAAAUACAGCUAGAUUUGACAAAGUGAUACUUGGAAGAAUUAAGUUUGUAUUCUUGGGGAUAGACAUUAAGUCUUAUAACUACUGGAAUUAAUCACAUGCAAAUUGGAGGCAGUCCUUACUUUUUGGGGGGGCGGGAGGGAGGAAGAAAACCAACAACAAAAACCACCACAAAAGAAUGCACAGGAUUAUCAGUUUUCCCAAAGAUGAAAAAUUUACAGGCAAGACAAGCUUCUCAUCUAGUAAGCCAACUUCCACAAAAAUUUAACUGGUAGAAAGUAGAAAUGAAGAAGGGUCAACAAGUGUGUUAAGGAAUAAUAGUUACACAGGAGGAAAUUCCUGCAUAUCCUGGUAACCAAGGGCAGUGUUAACUGAGGAUGCCAUGUCCACUAAUGUUUAGUGAGGGUGGAGAGACCCAAGCUGCAGCUUUUCAGAUCUUACACUGUCUCUCCUCUCUUCACAUAGUACACUCCUCCAUUGCAGCAACCUCUAAGCCCAGUCCUCCAUCAGUCUAUACUCAUGCCAGUUUUAAGGUUAGUGGUUUAACAAUUACUUCAGACCACAGCUCAAUUUUAUAGUCAAGUUACAAAGUUAAUCAGUGGAUGGAACCUAACCAUAGGAGAUAGCACCUCUUACUCAGAUGUUUGUCAGGCUAGUUACAUCUUGCCACAUUAAUUUCCAAACUAUGAUGUGUGAGGGGUAGAUGUUUUACCCAGGUAUUCAUCUUAAAGAAAUCUUGUCUGGCUCUUGAUGCCAUUAUAACCCCCUUCACCCCUGCAAUCUUCCAUAUAAAUCCUACAAGGUGCAGCCGAGGUAUUAAUAAAACUGCUACUGGAUCACUGGGGGAGUUAGAAAGCCAUCUUUUACCAUGCUCUAUUUAGUCAGCUGAAAUGACUGUCAAAGGGAGUAGAGAAAAGGGCCAUUAUUUCAUUAGUGACAGGUCAGAGGCAGUUGCAGAAUCUUCACAAUAUAAAUUUCUCAGUUCCAGUUUACCCUUCUACCAUGCUAUUUUUAUUGCUCAAAAUAGCAAUUGGUUGACUAUUUCUUCUUAACUUCUCUGGACAUCCUUUAAGCAAGGUGACAAUCUGCACAAUAAGAUCUCAACUGGCAGAGCAGUCAUUUAAGGGCAGUCUUAAGAGUUCUAGAUUGCACCUGAUCCCCAAGAACUCCUCUCAAAUAAGGAAGAGAUGGAAGUGUGUCUAACAUGGUAACAUACACAAUUCCUACUGAACCAACGUACCUUUUUCUAAUAGGUAGAGGCCAAAAAACCCUGUUUGCAAGUCUAAGCCAUUAGGCUUUAGAUGUUCAGGACAUCCUUUUAGACACCACUGUGCAACUAUAUCCAAGAGGAUCUGACCUUAAGGAAAAGUGAGUUAUCAAAGCCCACAGUGGUGGAAUUUUGCUCAAGGAGAGGCAAGCUAGCUUCCUAGUAAGAGGUACAGGAAGUUUGAAGUACACCUUCAUAAACACACUGUCCUGAGGUUGGGAAAUGUCUUAACACUACUUUAGAGGACCAGACUUGAAUUUAAGGAGCAGGAAUUCACAGCUUUGAUUCUAGCCUUGUGUAUUAGUGAAUCUGCCUUCAAGAACGAAGCAUUACAGUACCUUCGUGUGCCCUUUGACCUUCAUCUUUACUAUCAUUGGCUUUCAUUUUCCCAGAAACUGGCUCCUCCUUAUUUUUUUCUUUGCUUUCAUACAUCUUACGAAUCACUGAGGUAGGUGUGAAGGAAGGAGA